rnacentral:rRNA from 1 species
CAAUAGCGUAUAUUAAAGUUGUUGCAGUUAAAAAGCUCGUAGUUGGAUUUGUGGCGUACGGUGUGUUCCGGGCACUUGUUGUCUGAGUAACCUGCUGUUGCCAUCCUUGGGUGGAACCUGUGUGGCAUUAGGUUGUCGUGCAGGGGAUGCCCAUCAUUUACUGUGAAAAAAUUAGAGUGUUCAAAGCAGGCUUAUGCCGUUGAAUAUACUAGCAUGGAAUAAUGAGAUAGGACUUUUUUGCUAUUUUGUUGGUUUGCGCAAGAAGGUAAUGAUUAAUAGGGACAGUUGGGGGUAUUCGUAUUCCAUUGUCAGAGGUGAAAUUCUUGGAUUUUUGGAAGACGAACUACUGCGAAAGCAUUUACCAAGGAUGUUUUCAUUAA